CCUACGGGAGACAGCAGUGAGGAAUAUUGGUCAAUGGGCGCGAGCCUGAACCAGCCAAGUCGCGUGAGGGAAGACGGUCCUAUGGAUUGUAAACCUCUUUUGUCGGGGAGCAAAAGACGCCACGCGUGGCGUUCCGAGAGUACCCGAAGAAAAAGCAUCGGCUAACUCCGUGCCAGCAGCCGCGGUAAUACGGAGGAUGCGAGCGUUAUCCGGAUUUAUUGGGUUUAAAGGGUGCGCAGGCGGAAGAUCAAGUCAGCGGUAAAAUUGAGAGGCUCAACCUCUUCGAGCCGUUGAAACUGGUUGUCUUGAGUGAGCGAGAAGUAUGCGGAAGGCGUGGUGUAGCGGUGAAAUGCAUAUAUAUCACGCAGAACUCCGAUUGCGAAGGCAGCAUACCGGCGCUCAACUGACGCUCAUGCACGAAAGUGUGGGUAUCGAACAGGAUUAGAUACCCUGGUAGUC
rnacentral:rRNA from 1 species